rnacentral:rRNA from 1 species
GCGCUACACAUGCAGUCGAGCGGGGAGGUAGCUUGCCCCGGACCUAGCGGCGGAGGGUGAGUAAUGCUUAGGAAUCUGCCUAUUAGUGGGGGACAACAUCCCGAAAGGAAUGCUAAUACCGCAUACGUCCUACGGGAGAAAGCAGGGGAUCUUCGGACCUUGCGCUAAUAGAUGAGCCUAAGUCGGAUUAGCUAGUUGGUGGGGUAAAGGCCUACCAAGGCGACGAUCUGUAGCGGGUCUGAGAGGAUGAUCCGCCACACUGGGACUGAGACACGGCCCAGACUCCUACGGGAGGCAGCAGUGGGGAUAUUGGACAAUGGGGGGACCCUGAUCCAGCCAUGCCGCGUGUGUGAAGAAGGCUUAUGGUGUAAAGCACUUUAAGCGAGGAGGAGGUACUUUAGUAAUACUAAGUAGUGGACGUUACUCGCAGAAAAGCACCGCUAACUCUGUGCCAGCCGCCGCGGUAAUACUAAACAC